rnacentral:snRNA from 1 species
GAAUGUGAGGGUGACCUGGCUGUGACAAGCCACCCCACUGAUUAUCAGUGUUUUUUUCAAGUGAUCACACUGGCUUGUUGGGAGUCCCCUUUAUCCUCCACAGUUGCAUAUCUGUUCUUUGUAAAGCAGUAUAUUCAGGCAAAAAGGACA